ensembl:snoRNA
AUCCUUUUGUAGUGCGUAAACGUGGUAAUUAGGUGUUCACAUUGUAUGUGUGGGAUGUGCCUCCCAAACAGCUUGUGAAAAAAAAAACUUAUAUUUCUACCU